GAUUGCUCAUCUCUUUCUCAAUUCUUUCAUGAGUGGAGACUUUCUUUCAUGAUUGGAUUAGGGCUAGAGCAGCCUUCAACCCAGCGGUGCCAGAGAAAAUUUGGAUGGCAGAUGCCCUGAAGGCCAGAGAGGAAAUAAACAUUGAUUCCACAAAUAAAUCUGGGGAAUUCGGCUAUCCAGACGGGGAAAACAAUACCCUUAGCACAUAAAAGAUCAAUUCCAGCUAUCCACAGGUCCAGCCGCAGGAGAAUGGAUAAAUAAACUGGAAUGCGAUGUACACACACGAAGGGGUGAGAAUGAGUAAUCUACGCUUGCACACAUCAGUGCGGUGGAAUCUCGCAAAGAUCAUACAUGAAAGAAGCAAGCAGGAAAACAAGGCACUUCAAUGAUCUCAAGCACUGUUAUCUCGUGUGUCUCCUCUCUCUCACAUCAGUGAGACACGAGUGAACACUCAACUGAUCACUCUCUUGAGGCAUUCAUGUACUCCGCAAACACUGUCUGGGACCUGGAGGUGCAGGCUUUGGUUUUUUUGUUGUGAGGCACUAGCUCCUGAUCUGGGAUCAAAGCCUGCGUUGGAAGGGGAAGUCUUAACCAGUGGACAACCAGUGAAAAGAAAGCGAAAGCGAAAAUCGCUUUCAUGUCCGACUCUUUGGGACCCCAUGGAAUAUACAAUGCGUGGAAUUCUCCAGGCCAGAAUACUGGAGUGGAAAGCCUAUCCCUUCUCCAAGGGAUCUUCCCAACCCAGGGACCGAAGCGGGGUCUUCUACAUUGCAGGCAGAUUCUUUACCAACUGAGCUAUCAGGAAAGCCGGACUGCCAGGGAAGCCCCUAAAGUUGUCUUUAGAUAUUCGUAGCAAAUUCCUUUCAACCACACCUGGGUUUAUGUUAAUGAGGUGACUCGGAAAGCCUCUAAGGAUGAAAGCUGUUUGACAGGGGAACCAACUACGUGAUUGGAGGGGUGUAACUUAGCUGUCUCCCUGAACUCCAGGAAGGCGAGAGGGGCUGGAGAUUGAGUUCAAUUACUAAUGGCCAAUGAUUUAAUCCAUAGUGCUUAUGUAAUUAAUGAAGCCUCUAUAAGAACUCAAAACGAUGAGGUUCAGAGAGUUUCCAGGUUGGUAAACGUGGAGGUGCUGGCAGAGUGGUUCCUUGGAGAAGGCAUGCAAGCCCCUUCCACAUACCUCGUCCCGAGUACUUCAUCUGACUCUCAUCUGUAUCCUUUAUAAUAUCCUUUAUAAUAAACUGGUGA